AGCUUUGCGCAGUGGCAGUAUCGUAGCCAAUGAGGUUUAUCCGAGGCGCGAUUAUUGCUAAUUGAAAAAUAUGGACUAUUAAGGUAUUUGCACUUUAACUCCAGCAUUAGUGUUUUUAAGUCUUUAGUUAGA
rnacentral:snRNA from 1 species